UUAACAUGUGUGGACUGGAACUCCCUAGGUAGACCUUUUACAUCCCUCCACCAUGUCGCUCAAUCUCUCUAUUUUCUCUCUUUUUCUCUAAGCAGGCCACCACUUUUUCCACUUCAUUUACUUUUCUCACUCCCUCACUUCCUUGUGCCUUCUCUUUUUACUGUUCCCUCUUUUCUUCCUCUACCCCCCCUCCAAACCCAUCAUCCCUCUCUACAUUUCCCUAACUCCUUACUCCUCUCUGUGUUCUCUUUGCCCUCUCCCACUAAUUGCCCCUCUCCCUCCCUCCUUUCCCCAUCUCUUUCUCCCCCUCGUUCAGGUCUCUCUCUCUUGUACAGAACAGAGAGGGAGGGCUGCCGGGAGUGCUUUCAAUAAUUAACUAAAAGGAACCAAAUGGAAACUAACAAAAACAAGGGAGAUACAAGCAGAUGCUGGAUGCCACGCCAACGGAUUCCUCCUGCAACAAUGACAGAGGAACUGUUUUGGAGACCAUUACAUUACCAGACGGUCCCAGUUUCUGUGAAGGGAUGGCUCAGGUCCGCCCUUGGGAAGAAGAAGGUAGUGUAUCACAGUUAGGUGGCCACUGGAGAGCUGUGUGUCCGCACUGUCGGAUGCUGGGAGAGACGGACUCACUGCUGUGCACUUCUGUCGUUGAGGGAGUCCCGUUCAUUUCCUUCACCUGUGCCCAAUCAAGAGUGGAAAGAGAGGCACGCAGGAAUGUCGCCUCUGAAUUUGGGUUAGCGUAUCAUUGGCGAACCUGCUUAAUGGAGAGCGCUGGUGAGAAUUUAGCACAUGCGUUAUUGGUAGCACACAUGAGAUUUCACACUUAUUGAAGACAGCGCUCCGUGAAUAGGUUGGCACAGCAGAAGUAUUUCAAAACGGGAAAACAGAAACAAAGAAGCUCUUCAUCACCAGGUGACAUAUUCAUUAAAUACAAGGCAUAAUUACAAGGCAUAAUUAAAUACAAGGCAUAAGCAACCAACUAAUACUCUCUCAAUAUUGUGUAUGUAGUGUACUAUGUAUGUAAUAUGUUAUGGCAGUAGAUGAACAAUAACUAAUUGUUUACCAUGCAAAUCACUAAUGUAACAUAUGGUUAAUAAACAAUAAAUGUUUAUUGGUGAUGCCGUUGACAAAUCAUUUAAUUCACCAUUUAAACAAUUAAGAGGCAAAGAGGCAUAAAAUUAUAAUUCACUGGUUUCUAAUGUGGGCACGGUUCAUUCCUAGUUCCCUUCCAUGCCAUUCAACCCUUAUUUUGAUUGCAUUUUCUACGCCUUUUCUAUUCUACACAUGCACGCACGCACACACAAAAAUAAUUCCAUAAGAUUUAAUGAGAAAGGUCGACAAAAUAACAACGACCAACAUUUUUUUAUUCAAAUUUAAGUAAAAAAGGUAGUUGGCUAGAUAGAGACAGAGAGAGAAAUAUAAACAGAGUGAGAGAGAGACAGAUAGAGAGAGAGAGAGAGAGAGAGAGAGAGAGAAAU
rnacentral:lncRNA from 13 species